GUGGGUUCAUGGGCACAGCAGAGCGCACAGCGCAGCAGUAACAAAUAGCCAUGUACUGUAGCAGGCUGUGUGUGUGUGUGUUGUGAGGAGAUGAUAUGCUUCGACGCCUGUGCCUGCGUUUGACGGCUCAUAUUCCAAUUUAAGCCGACAAGAAUAGGUUACCAAUUCCCCUGUGCCCCUCUUUAUAUUUACAGUCGUGUUAAUUUCUUCAACAACUAGAUAACGGGGAGCGGAGAGGCAACAACCAUCGGUAUUGAAUGUUGGUAAGCAGGCUCCAGUCCAUUGGGCUUUGACGCGGAUUCUCGGGCUGCGCUGCAUUGCUCGCGAGUACUGUAAUCGCAGCUGAGAUAUGGACGCUGUUCUGUGAAGCAUGCUGCACUGACAAAUGUUCUCCUCCCGGACAACAACAUCUGAAGUGUAUUCCUACAAUAACACUUCUAGGGGUUUUCUGACUGUGUAAUCCCUGCGCGCAGCGGCAAACCCCGUGAGACAAGUUCUUCUAUUGCACAAAGUUUAACCAUGUGAACGUCAAACCAAUGACUGGAGAGUAUCCAUCACCGUACUGAGGAGGAGGGAGGAGGAGGAAGAGGGAGGAAUCGAUAGAGGAUAACAGCACGAGGCCUUCCUUCGCUCGAUAAUUGCAAGUUCCCCCAUAUCACUUACUGGGAGGAUAGUCUAAUCUAAUGCAUUCAAAUGUUCUUCUUGUGGUCAGACAGUGAGUGCACAUUGUACACCAGGCCCUGUGGUUCGGCUGUAUUUUUGCUAUACUUUAACAGUGGGAAAUACGUUUCUUAUUGCAGGACUCAUAAGUAACUGAGAGAGUUAGUCAAUUGGGACCAGCACAUUGGUGGCAUGGCAGAGUUGCAACAUUUAUAUUCAAUACUCUCUUGGCCUAUGUAAUACUAAGUCGUUAGUAUUAUACAACAACAAAAAACGGAUGUAACUGAGUAAAUGAACUACUGAGUCUACUCUCGGUCACACACAUACACACGGGCGCACACUGUAGUACAAACACUAUAGUACAGUCAAACAGUACAGUAUAUCAAUCCAUUCCAUUUAGAUAGUGGGGUUCUGUAUCGUUUGGAAUUAGUGCUUGUCAAGUUAAUGGUGGUUGAGCCGCUCGUCAUUUUCUUUAUCAGGUUGUACCCCUCUCCUCCUUACGCAUUCAGCAGAACCCUAAUAAACCAGACUUCUUCUGAUCAACUCACACAGGGAAACUUACUGUAUCACGAUGACAUGCUGUGACAGGUACCACUAAUACGGUUGUUAUAUGGUUCACUCGGGCCUCCCAGACACUCGGCCAUCCCUCACCCUGACUCUGAGGAGACGGAGUGCGAGACACACUCCUUUUUAUUGAGCCGUGCUGCCUUUGUAAUGUGAAUUUAAGAGCCGCUCUUAGAUUAUGUCAUUUGUAAACCAGCCUAAGUGGAGUCUGUCUGGCCCAGAUAGAGCUCAUUUCCCAGAAGCUGAACGAACAGUACAUUAUGUUACAGUACAUUAUGUUACAGUACAUUAUGCCCGUAUGCAACAGGCCAAUCUGAUGGGAUGGGAGCCAGGUUGGAUAUAAAGAUGCCAGUUACUGUUUUAUGUCUUUUCAGUUAUCAUUCUUUUCUUUGACUCAGCUGGUUUUGUAAAUUGGUGAAUACUUUAGGAAUAAUAUAUGUUUCCAUUUUAACGUGCAGGAUUUACAAUUCCAUUUAACCAACAUACGACGAAUAAGAGCUCUCGGUUGUUAGACCUUUUAGGUCAGGGUUUUCCAAACUUUAUAUCCCGCCAGAUCGGCCUGUUGUGUACAGACAUAAUGUACUGUAGCUGUUCUCAUCAAGUUUUGAUUAUUUGAAUUCGGCUGUGCAGGGCAAAAAUCUAAACGUGCACCCAGGGAGUCCUCAGGACCGAGUUUGUGGAACGCCGCUCUAGGCUACAGUAGUGUUGCGGUGAAACUGUGAGCGUCCCGUCCAACUCAUACACUUUCUCUGGGGUUUUGUGUCAGUGAAGAAACACAUUCUAUGUGGCCUUUAGAGAAGAUUAGUAAGAUGAUACUGGACUGUGGCAUUUACUGCGCCUCAGCCUGCCUCAGACAGCGCUGCUCCAGAGUCUAUUACCUGAGUCGGGCAGAGUACCGAUGGGCCCGGAAACAUUACAUUGAUUGACUCAAAAUGUACUUCCACUAAAUGGCCCAAAGAGUACCUACUUACCGUUGCAGAUAUAGCCUACAUCCAAACAGACUUAGGCCUAGAUUCAAUUAGUUCCAACAUUAGGGCUCUAUUACAGCGUGAUUGAAAUGUUCCCGUGUUAGCGGAGACUACAUUCACGGUCAAUGUGCAUAUGUCGGAUCAAUCGGAAAGUACCUUCACUUUUCUAUCGCAACAAUCUGGAACGCCGCAGCGGUACUGAUUGAAUAGAGCCCUUAACUCGCGAUAACCGACAACUGCAUAGUAGUUUUAUUGCUUUUAUUUAGGCGAUGCUGGGGGUGUAACUGCGUUGGGGCUGUCGAAUCGGUGAGCGGCUGCCCUUGUCGUCAUUGUCACGAAACAAACACCUGUUCUUAAAUCCUACGUGUUAGACGUUCCGAACGAGAAAGUGUAGGCUAUAUAGAAAUGACACUCAUUCAAUGACUUCGACUACAUAAAAGAUAAUACUGCUAUGCAGUUGUCGGUUAUCGCGGGUUAAGGCGCGUCUGAUUGAAUCUAGCCCGUAGCCUACAUCCAAAACAGGGUUGGUGCUGUACAGUAGGUGCUAGAGGCCCAGAGAUAUUCACUCUGAAUCCAUUAGAGGCUGACAACACUUUGCCUUCUGAAAUAAGCAUGACCAUAUAUCUUUUGAGCGUCAAUCUCUCCAGUUCCACUGAAUCAGAGCAGGAUUAUGGUAAUGCCAAGUCACUCCACGGCAACAGUUGAAGUAGGACAAGAGAGAGAAAAAACAUGCCAAUCAAUGAGAGUUCCAUCUUACAUCACAGCACUGUCAGGAAGCACCUUAUCUGUAAUCUGUAUGCAAGUAUGACACCUUCGCUGAUCUCCAUCCCACUCCUCCUCUACACUACAGCUGUGUUUUGUCAUUUUCUGUUCGUCAGGACACAAGUGCCAAUUCAUUACAAUUAGCCCAGUCAAGAUCCAAGUGGGCCGAAAAUAACACCUGGCACUUGUAUGGCUAUUAGGACUGCUCACACAGAGAUGGUUCUGUGUUGCUUCUGCCACACUGAUAUUAGUGUCACUUGCAAUCACUUGUUGUCCUCGUUCCUUUUCUCCAUUAUUUUCUCUCUGACAUUUUUCCUCAUUGUC